UUGAACGCUGGCGGCAGGCCUAACACAUGCAAGUCGAGCGGUAGCACAGAGAGCUUGCUCUCGGGUGACGAGCGGCGGACGGGUGAGUAAUGUCUGGGAAACUGCCUGAUGGAGGGGGAUAACUACUGGAAACGGUAGCUAAUACCGCAUAAUGUCGCAAGACCAAAGUGGGGGACCUUCGGGCCUCAUGCCAUCAGAUGAGCCCAGAUGGGAUUAGCUAGUAGGUGGGGUAACGGCUCACCUAGGCGACGAUCCCUAGCUGGUCUGAGAGGAUGACCAGCCACACUGGAACUGAGACACGGUCCAGACUCCUACGGGAGGCAGCAGUGGGGAAUAUUGCACAAUGGGCGCAAGCCUGAUGCAGCCAUGCCGCGUGUGUGAAGAAGGCCUUCGGGUUGUAAAGCACUUUCAGCGGGGAGGAAGGCGUUAAGGUUAAUAACCUUGGCGAUUGACGUUACCCGCAGAAGAAGCACCGGCUAACUCCGUGCCAGCAGCCGCGGUAAUACGGAGGGUGCAAGCGUUAAUCGGAAUUACUGGGCGUAAAGCGCACGCAGGCGGUCUGUCAAGUCGGAUGUGAAAUCCCCGGGCUCAACCUGGGAACUGCAUUCGAAACUGGCAGGCUAGAGUCUUGUAGAGGGGGGUAGAAUUCCAGGUGUAGCGGUGAAAUGCGUAGAGAUCUGGAGGAAUACCGGUGGCGAAGGCGGCCCCCUGGACAAAGACUGACGCUCAGGUGCGAAAGCGUGGGGAGCAAACAGGAUUAGAUACCCUGGUAGUCCACGCCGUAAACGAUGUCGAUUUGGAGGUUGUGCCCUUGAGGCGUGGCUUCCGGAGCUAACGCGUUAAAUCGACCGCCUGGGGAGUACGGCCGCAAGGUUAAAACUCAAAUGAAUUGACGGGGGCCCGCACAAGCGGUGGAGCAUGUGGUUUAAUUCGAUGCAACGCGAAGAACCUUACCUGGUCUUGACAUCCACAGAACUUUCCAGAGAUGGAUUGGUGCCUUCGGGAACUGUGAGACAGGUGCUGCAUGGCUGUCGUCAGCUCGUGUUGUGAAAUGUUGAGUUAAGUCCCGCAACGAGCGCAACCCUUAUCCUUUGUUGCCAGCGGUUAGGCCGGGAACUCAAAGGAGACUGCCAGUGAUAAACUGGAGGAAGGUGGGGAUGACGUCAAGUCAUCAUGGCCCUUACGACCAGGGCUACACACGUGCUACAAUGGCAUAUACAAAGAGAAGCGACCUCGCGAGAGCAAGCGGACCUCAUAAAGUAUGUCGUAGUCCGGAUUGGAGUCUGCAACUCGACUCCAUGAAGUCGGAAUCGCUAGUAAUCGUAGAUCAGAAUGCUACGGUGAAUACGUUCCCGGGCCUUGUACACACCGCCCGUCACACCAUGGGAGUGGGUUGCAAAAGAAGUAGGUAGCUUAACCUUCGGGAGGGCGCUUACCACUUUGUGAUUCAUGACUGGGGUG
rnacentral:rRNA from 1 species